ensembl:lncRNA
CAGGGUAAGGUGAGCCAGCUGAAGCUGAACUGGGGGUUGUGAUUGGUGAUAGCUUGCCUUGAUGGAAAGGUGUUUCCUGUUAAGUGCAGGUUGAUUUAGGGUUGAAACUCCUGGCUUGAGCUGGGCCUUGGGUCAGCCUCCAUUCUGCAAAUUUUUACCUACUGGACCAGGAAGUCCCAAGCAGGGCAUCUCUUAGACCUGCAGUUCAAGGCUAGAGCAAAUGAGACUCAGGGGGACUAGGACUAAAGAGAUCUCCAUCCUACCAGGAGAUCACAGGAGGAAACUGAGAGCUCGGACGCCCCACAGCAGUUAAAAAGGCAAGACAGAAAUGAAGACAGAGUGGGUCUGCAUCCCACCUGGGCCACCAUAGUUGUGAUCUGGGGCCUAGAGGCUGGAACAAGAGCGAGGGCCUGGCAUCCACGCCACAUCAUUCAGGGGCCUUCCAGCACCAGCACCUGAUCCAGCCCAGCAGAGCGGCUCUCCCUGAUAUUUUGGAAGCAAUCAUAUAUUUUUAAUGACCUGCAAAAUCUCCCUGUGAGAAGGGAGGGAGAGUUGAAAUUACAGCCAAGCAAUUUGCAUUGCGAAUAAGUUAUCCUGCCUCCUGCUCUCCAAGAAUAUGCAGAAAUAAAUGCCUCCUAAUGAACCCUGGGGGGCUGAGGCUUUGAUAUGAAUUCUGCUGCAGGGGUAAAGAGUUCUAGCCAGACUGAAACUCAGCGUGAAGUUGGAGCAGGAGGGCUGGGGCAGUCCCCUUCAGAGCGAGGGAAAAAGGAAAUUGGAUUAUCUUGCUAGCAGUUGGUGUUUUUCUAUCUCUUAGAACCACAGAUUAGUGCUCCCCUCCUUCAGAUGGUUGGGGAGGGUGGGGAGAGAUUCCAUUUAGCCCUAUUUCUCCAGCCGGCUGCUCACCUGCUUGUAACCCUUCCACCCUGGCCACUGUCAAGCUCCUUCUAGAUUCCCUGGACAUACAGAGACCAGGAGCUCCAAAGAUUUUGCCUUUUCCAGAACUAAAAAAGACCUAUUAAACACAGAUGGGCUUCCCUGGUGGCUCAGACAGUAAAGAAACUGCUGCAAUGUAGAAGACACAGGUUCCAUCCCUGGGUCAGGAAGAUCGCCUGGACAAGGGAAUGGCUACCCAUUCCAGUAUUCUUGCCUGGAGAAUUCCAUGGACACAGGAGCCUGGUGGGCUGCAGUCCAUGGCGUCGCAAAGAGUUGGACACAACUGAGUGACUUUCACUUUCUUUUUCAUUAAACAUAGAUAGAUGGAUGGAUAGAUAGAUAGAUGAUAAACAAUCUUUCUAUCUAAAGUCAGGUAACCUUUAGUUCUGGCUGCCAUAAGGAAAACACCAGCGCCCACCCCCGACCUCUCGCCGCCCUCCCAGAGCCUACAGGGUCUGUGUUUAUUCUGCACAGUGAAGUGUGUGUGUGUGUGGAGUGGGGACAAGUACGUGCUUGCAGGCCUGAGCUGUGUGGGGGCUGGCCUGUGAGCUGAGUGGUGUGGAUCUGAGGGCAUGUGGAUGUGGUAUUUGUGUGGGCUUGAGAGGUGUGGUAAUGAUGGUUUGUGUGGACUUGUGAAAGAGAGGAGGUGGGGAGGCCUGUUCACAGCCUCCCUGGGGAGUUGGUGGGGCUGGGCAAAAGCCCAGGUCGGACAAAGGGAAUCCAUCCGCAGCAGACC